GCGGUCGGAUUCUGGCCGAAGUGGCUCGGUUACCUGGGAGAGCUGCAGGAGUGUACAGAGAGGUACUGUGCCAGCGCCCUGGACCGGAGAUCUACACAGUCUAAACAUUAAACAGAACAGUCGCCUCAAAUCCCUGAGAGACUUCCCUGGUGGCUCAGAGGGUAAAAGCAUCUGCCUACAAUGCGGGAGACCCGGGUUCGAUUCCCUGGAGAAGGAAAUGGCAACCCACUCCAGUAUUCUUACCUGGAAAAUCCCAUGGACCGAGGAGCCUGGCAGGCUACGGUCCAUGGGGUCGCAAAGAGUGGACACGACUGAGCAA